CAAUAGCGUAUAUUUAAGUUGUUGCAGUUAAAAAGCUCGUAGUUGGAUUUCGGGUGGGACGCAGCGGUCUCGCAUUGCGUUUGUACUGCUGCAGCCCUCCUUCUUGCCGGGGGCGGCCUCUCGGACUUCACUGUCUGGGGGUCAGAAUCGGCGAUGUUACUUUGAGUAAAUUAGAGUGUUCAAAGCAAGCUUACGCUCUGAAUAUAAUAGCAUGGGAUAACACGACAGGACUCUGGCCUAUCGUGUUGGUCUAUGGGACCAGAGUAAUGAUUAAGAGGGACAGUCGGGGGCAUUCGUAUUCCGUUGUCAGAGGUGAAAUUCUUGGAUUUACGGAAGACGAACAUCUGCGAAAGCAUUUGCCAAGGAUGUUUUCAUUGA
rnacentral:rRNA from 1 species